rnacentral:snRNA from 1 species
CUAACAAGGAUUCCCUUA